rnacentral:rRNA from 1 species
ACACGACUCUCGGCAAUGGAUAUCUCGGCUCUCGCAUCGAUGAAGAGCGCAGCGAAAUGCGAUAUGUGGUGCGAAUUGCAGAAUCCCGCGAACCAUCGAGUCUUUGAACGCAAGUUGCGCCUGAGGCCAACUGGCUGAGGGAACGUCCGCCUGGGCGUCAAGC